ACGCUCGACACCUACGGGAGACAGCAGUGGGGAAUAUUGCACAAUGGGGGAAACCCUGAUGCAGCGACGCCGCGUGAGCGAAGAAGUAUUUCGGUAUGUAAAGCUCUAUCAGCAGGGAAGAUCAUGACGGUACCUGACUAAGAAGCUCCGGCUAAAUACGUGCCAGCAGCCGCGGUAAUCUGAGCGGGCUGGCAAGGC
rnacentral:rRNA from 1 species